rnacentral:rRNA from 1 species
CUCAAAGGAAUUGACGGGGACCCGCACAAGCGGUGGAUGAUGUGGUUUAAUUCGACGCAACGCGAAAAACCUUACCUACCCUUGACAUGCCAGGAACUUGCCAGAGAUGGCUUGGUGCUCGAAAGAGAACCUGGACACAGGUGCUGCAUGGCCGUCGUCAGCUCGUGUCGUGAGAUGUUGGGUUAAGUCCCGCAACGAGCGCAACCCUUGUCAUUAGUUGCUACAUUUAGUUGGGCACUCUAAUGAGACUGCCGGUGACAAACCGGAGGAAGGUGGGGAUGACGUCAGGUCAUCAUGGCCCUUAUGGGUAGGGCUAC